AGGGGGCCCCCCGGGGUGGGGACUGCGGCUUUUAUUGACUCUCCACAGGGAAACUCUCCCCCGGCCCGGACACUGGGGGGUGACAGAUUGAGAGCUCUUUUUUGUGUCUCUGGGGGGGGGGGCAUGGGCGUUCUUUGUUGGGGGAGUGAUUUGUCUGGGUUAUUUCCAUAACGAACGAGACUCUGGCCUACUAAAAAGUCGUCGGAUCGCUUCACCCGACUGACUUCUUAGAGGGACAAGCGCGGCUUAUCCGCAUGAAAAAAAGCAAUAACAGGUCUGUGAUGCCCCCUAUGUCCGGGGCUGCACGCGCGCUACACUGAGGAAUCAGCGUGUGGGUUUGCCUGGCUCUAAAGAGCUGGGUGAUCCGGUGAUGAUCCUUCGUGAUGAUGAUCAUGACAUGCAGUUAUUUUCUUGUUCUACGAAUCACUAGUAAGUACCGCUCAUCAGCUCGUGCUGAUUACGACUUGCCCUUUGUACACACGCCCGCCGCUGCUCGAACUGAGCAUUUCUAGAAAAUGC
rnacentral:rRNA from 1 species